GCCCUGGUGGUGAAAUCGGUAGACACAAGGGAUUUAAAAUCCCUCGACUUUCAAGUCGUGCCGGUUCAAGUCCGGCCCGGGGCACCA
rnacentral:tRNA from 1 species